rnacentral:rRNA from 1 species
GUUACCAAACUGUUGCCUCGGCGGGGUCACGCCCCGGGUGCGUCGCAGCCCCGGAACCAGGCGCCCGCCGGAGGAACCAACCAAACUCUUUCUGUAGUCCCCUCGCGGACGUAUUUCUUACAGCUCUGAGCAAAAAUUCAAAAUGAAUCAAAACUUUCAACAACGGAUCUCUUGGUUCUGGCAUCGAUGAAGAACGCAGCGAAAUGCGAUAAGUAAUGUGAAUUGCAGAAUUCAGUGAAUCAUCGAAUCUUUGAACGCACAUUGCGCCCGCCAGUAUUCUGGCGGGCAUGCCUGUCCGAGCGUCAUUUCAACCCUCGAACCCCUCCGGGGGAUCGGCGUUGGGGAUCGGGACCCCUCACACGGGUGCCGGCCCCUAAAUACAGUGGCGGUCUCGCCGCAGCCUCUCCUGCGCAGUAGUUUGCACAACUCGCACCGGGAGCGCGGCGCGUCCACGUCCGUAAAACACCCAACUUUCUGAAAUGUUGACCUCGGAUCAGGUAGGAAUACCCGCUGAACUUAAGCAUAUCAAUAAGCCGGAGGAA